UACGUAGGGGGCAAGCGUUGUCCGGAUUUAUUGGGCGUAAAGAGCGUGUAGGCGGCCUGGUAGGUCUGCUGUGAAAACUCGAGGCUCAACCUCGAGAUGUCGGCGGAAACCAUCUGGCUAGAGUCCGGAAGAGGAGAGUGGAAUUCCUGGUGUAGCGGUGAAAUGCGCAGAUAUCAGGAAGAACACCUAUGGCGAAGGCAGCUCUCUGGGACGGUACUGACGCUGAGACGCGAAAGCGUGGGGAGCGAACAGG
rnacentral:rRNA from 1 species